rnacentral:rRNA from 1 species
GUCCUUUUGAGAUUUAUUUAAGGUUUAACCUGCCCACUGAUUUAUUGAAGGGCCGCAGUAUUUUGACUGUGCAAAGGUAGCAUAAUCAUUAGUUUUUUAAUUAAAAGCUUGUAUGAAGGGUUGGACGAGGUAAAUUCUGUCUCUAGAUAAUUAAUUUUAGAAUUUAAUUUUUAAGUCAAAAAGCUUAAAUUUUUUUAAAAGACGAGAAGACCCUAUAGAUCUUUAUAUUAUAUUUAUUAGUUAUAUAUAAGAUUUUUUUAAUUAAUUAAUAGAUUUAAUAUUUUAUUGGGGUAAUAAAAAGAUUUAAUUAAUUCUUUUUUUAUUUUAACAUUAAUAAAUGAAUUUAUGAUCCAGUAUUAUUGAUUAAAAGAUUAAGUUACCUUAGGGAUAACAGCGUAAUUUUUUUAGAGAGUUCAUAUCGAUAAAAAAGUUUGCGACCUCGAUGUUGGAUUAAAAAUUAUUUUAGGUGUAGAAGCUUAAAAUUUUGGUCUGUUCGACCAUUAAAUUUUUACAUGAUCUGAGUUCAGACCGGCGUAAGCCAGGUCGGUUUCUAUCUUUAGUAAGAUUUUAAAUUUUAGUACGAAAGGACCAAAUUUGAGGUAUAUUUAUAUUUAAGGGUUUUGAUUAUUAUUAUUAUUUUGGCAGAUUAGUGUAAUGAAUUUAGAAUUCAUAUAUGUAAGUUAUUUACAAAUAAUAUUGUAUUUUAUAGAUUUGUUAUUUUCUGUUAUUUGUUUAGUAUUUUUAGUAGUUUUUGUUUUAGUUGGGGUUGCAUUUUUGACUUUAUUAGAACGAAAGGUUUUGGGGUAUAUUCAGAUUCGAAAGGGGCCUAAU